rnacentral:tRNA from 2 species
GCGGAUGUAGCCAAGUGGAUCAAGGCAGUGGAUUGUGAAUUCACCAUGCGCGGGUUCAAUUCCCAUCAUUUGCC